rnacentral:rRNA from 1 species
UUGACCUCAAAUCAGGUAGGACUACCCGCUGAACUUAAGCAUAUCAAUAAGCGGAGGAAAAGAAACUAACAAGGAUUCCCCUAGUAACUGCGAGUGAAGCGGGAUGAGCUCAAAUUUAAAAUCUGGCGGUUCUGCCGUCCGAGUUGUAAUCUGGAGAAGCGUUUUCUGUGCUGGACCGUACAUAAGUUCCUUGGAAUAGGACGUCAUAGAGGGUGAGAAUCCCGUCUUUGGUACGGACUACCAGUACUCUGUGAUACGCUCUCAAAGAGUCGAGUUGUUUGGGAAUGCAGCUCAAAAUGGGUGGUAAAUUCCAUCUAAAGCUAAAUAUAGGCGAGAGACCGAUAGCGAACAAGUACCGUGAGGGAAAGAUGAAAAGCACUUUGGAAAGAGAGUUAAACAGUACGUGAAAUUGUUGAAAGGGAAACGCUUGAAGUCAGUCGCGUUGUCCAGGACUCAGCCUUGGUUUUCCUUGGUGUACUUCCUGGUUGACGGGUCAACAUCAAUUUUGACCGGUGGACAAAGGCUUGGGGAAUGUGGCACCUUCGGGUGUGUUAUAGCCCCUUGUCAUAUACAUUGGUUGGGAUUGAGGACCGCAGCACGCCCUUGUGGCCGGGGUUCGCCCACGUAACGUGCUUAGGAUGUUGGCAUAAUGGCUUUAAGCGACCCGUCUUGAAACACGGACCAAGGAGUCUAACAUGCCUGCGAGUGUUAGGGUGGUAAACCCUUGCGCGUAAUGAAAGUGAAAGUUGGGACCUCUUGCGAGGGCACCGACGCCCGGCCCUGAACUCUUGUGACGGUGCUGCGGUAGAGCAUGUAUGUUGGGACCCGAAAGAUGGUGAACUAUGCCUGAAUAGGGCGAAGCCAGAGGAAACUCUGGUGGAGGCUCGUAGCGAUUCUGACGUGCAAAUCGAUCGUCAAAUUUGGGUAUAGGGGCGAAAGACUAAUCGAACCAUCUAGUAGCUGGUUCCUGCCGAAGUUUCCCUCAGGAUAGCAGAAACUCGUAUCAGAUUUAUGUGGUAAAGCGAAUGAUUAGAGGCCUUGGGGUUGAAACAACCUUAACCUAUUCUCAAACUUUAAAUAUGUAAGAACAAGCCGUCUCUUAGUGGACCGCU